rnacentral:rRNA from 1 species
UACGUAGGGACCAAGCGUUGUUCGGAUUUACUGGGCGUAAAGGGCGCGUAGGCGGCAAUUCAAGUCAUCUGUGAAAUCUCCGGGCUUAACUCGGAACGGUCAGAUGAUACUGCUUUGCUAGAGUGCAGAAGGGGCAAUCGGAAUUCUUGGUGUAGCGGUGAAAUGCGUAGAUAUCAGGAGGAACACCUGUGGCGAAAGCGGCUCACUGGACCAUUACUGACGCUGAGGCUCGAAAGCUAGGGGAGCAAACAGG